GACUGAGUUAAGUAUGUUUGAAUCAUCUGACAAACAGCUUCCCUGGGUUGUGUAUGAGUGACUCAGUUUAAAACAUAUUGAAAGGAAAGGAAGCUCCAGGCACAGCUUAGAAGCCUAGAAAGAAGAUUAUGCUUGGUUUUGACAUGGGAGGAAGAACUGCUUUGUCAGGUUUUGGUGUUCUACAGCUAUUCAAUGCAGAACUACUCUCUGUACAUCAAAGCGUGAAACAUGAAUGUUCAACAUGGAUAAGCAGAACUGGAAGAUUUAUAG